rnacentral:lncRNA from 1 species
AAGAGCAAACAACCUGGGUGAACUUAUGAUUGUGAGUGGAUGGAAACAGGCACAGUACUGCAGCAGAACACCAGAUUCACCAUCCAAGGGGAUGGGAAUUCCCAAAUCUACCCAGGCUCCAAGACUGAAUCAUUGAAAGUUUAAAUUGUAAACACAAAUGAGAAGACCAGUCAAUGACAAGAAACAGACAUAUAAACUAUGUGGAAAAUGGGAUCCCUGCAAUGACCAACUUGAAUGUUCUAUGGGAUAUUUUUAGAAUAGGGAAAAACAUUUAAUGUAUGUGUCAAACUAAUGCCCAUGGG